AAAUCCUCUUUCGCUCUUGAGUAACUUAGCCCCCGCAGCUGAUGUAGUUG
rnacentral:tRNA from 1 species